rnacentral:misc_RNA from 1 species
GAUGAAGAACGUAGCGAAAUGCGAUACUUGGUGUGAAUUGCAGAAUCCCGUGAACCAUCGCGUCUUUGAACGCAAGUUGCGCCCGAAGCCAUCAGGUUGAGGGCACGUCUGCCUGGGCGUCACAUAUCGUUGCCCAAUGCCUAUUGCAGUGCAAUAGGAAUUUCUAGGGCGAAUGAUGGCUUCCCGUGAGCGUUGUUGCCUCGCGGUUGGUUGAAAAUCGAGUCCUUGGUAGGGUGUGCCAUGGUAGAUGGUGGUCGAGUUAGAACGAUACCGAUCAUGUGCAUGCUCCCCAAAAUAUGGCCUCUAUGACCCACACGCGUCUUUUGACGCUCAUGACGAGACCUCAGGUCAGGCGGGGCUACCCGCUGAAUUUAAGCAUAUCAAUAAGCGGAGGA